rnacentral:rRNA from 1 species
GAUGAACGCUGGCGGCGUGCCUAAUACAUGCAAGUCGAGCGAACAGACGAGGAGCUUGCUCCUCUGACGUUAGCGGCGGACGGGUGAGUAACACGUGGAUAACCUACCUAUAAGACUGGGAUAACUUCGGGAAACCGGCGCUAAUACCGGAUAAUAUAUUGAACCGCAUGGUUCAAUAGUGAAAGACGGUUUUGCUGUCACUUAUAGAUGGAUCCGCGCCGCAUUAGCUAGUUGGUAAGGUAACGGCUUACCAAGGCAACGAUGCGUAGCCGACCUGAGAGGGGGAUCGGCCACACUGGAACUGAGACACGGUCCAGACUCCUAAGGGAGGCAGCAGUAGGGAAUCUUCCGCAAUGGGCGAAAGCAUGACGGAGCAACGCCGCGUGAGUGAUGAAGGUCUUCGGAUCGUAAAACUCUGUUAUUAGGGAAGAACAAAUGUGUAAGUAACUAUGCACGUCUUGACGGUACCUAAUCAGAAAGCCACGGCUAACUACGUG